rnacentral:rRNA from 1 species
ACGCUCGACACCUACGGGAGCAGCAGUGGGGAAUAUUGCACAAUGGGGGAAACCCGUGAUGCAGCAACGCCGCGUGAAGGAAGACGGUUUUCGGAUUGUAAACUUCUGUUCUUAGUGAAGAUAGUGACGGUAGCUAAGGAGCAAGCCACGGCUAACUACGUGCUAGCAGCCGCGGUAAUCUGAGCGGGCUGGCAAGGC